rnacentral:rRNA from 1 species
AUUGAACGCUGGCGGCAUGCCUUACACAUGCAAGUCGAACGGCAGCACGGGAGCAAUCCUGGUGGCGAGUGGCGAACGGGUGAGUAAUGCAUCGGAACGUGCCCAGUCGUGGGGGAUAACGCAGCGAAAGCUGUGCUAAUACCGCAUACGAUCUACGGAUGAAAGCGGGGGACCGUAAGGCCUCGCGCGAUUGGAGCGGCCGAUAUCAGAUUAGGUAGUUGGUGGGGUAAUGGCUCACCAAGGCGACGAUCCCUAGCUGGUUUGAGAGGAUGAUCAGCCACACUGGAACUGAGAUACGGGCCAGACUCCUACGGGAGGCAGCAGUAGGGAAUAUUGGGCAAUGGGCGCAAGCCUGACCCAGCCAUGCCGCGUGCAGGAAGAAGGCGUUAUGCGUUGUAAACUGCUUUUAUACAGGAAGAAACGACCCUUGCGAGGGGCAUUGACGGUACUGUAUGAAUAAGCACCGGCUAACUCCGUG